rnacentral:misc_RNA from 1 species
CUUCCCGUCAUGCUCACAUGCCCACGGCCUGACGCUGGACUCUCACAUGUAAGCACCAAUGCGCGUACCCAUACAAACCUCCAUGCUCACUUCCUGCCUCGUGAGCACGCACACAUACCGUUCCAGGCACCGCAGCUGCGUGCCUUUGCGCACACCUCUCAGCCUACGCAAACAGCAACAAGCCACGCUAAAAAGCGCCACCCUAAACGCGCGCGCACUGUGACAUGAGGACGCGUUUCAGCGAGACCAACGGGAGAAGAGCGGCUGCAUCCACAGUACUACGUUUACAGUACAGCGAAAGGCGCGCGCCCCCCUCUGCGUGGGUUUGUGUGUGUGUGUGGGGGGGGGGCGUCUGCAUUCCGUGAACUCAUUGUGCGCCUCUCAUUUUUGCCUCUUCCUUUCACCUCGAUCUCUCUCUCGUGACAGCGAUCUUUCUUUCUCACGCGCGCUAAAACACACAAAAAACAACAAAGAAAAACAAGGACAACAACAGCAGAAACGUGCCCAGAGCUUUCUGCCACGCUAUCUGCGUCGCGCCACUCACUCACACCCAGACCGGAACACCUCGCAUACAUCGGGGCCCGAUCAGCGUCCCCGCUUCCCCAUUUUGCACACAACAGCGCCCCUAAAACUACCCUUUCGUCCUCGACACGGGAGAAAGAAGAUGACUAAGAAUUCUCAACAUCAGUACAAGAGUUCCAGCUUCACGCCGAGCAGCACGAACCUCUUCGUCCGCUACCUGCCGCGCGAGGUGGACGACAACCGUCUGCGCGAGAUCUUCUCCGCCUUCGGCAAGAUCACCUCGUCGAUGGUGAUGCGCGACAUCUACAGUGGCCAGAGCCUUGGAACGGCGUUUGUGCGCUACGAGGAGCACGAGGAGGCGCUGCGCGCGAUGCGUGACGCCCACGGCAUGCCGCUGCUGGGCAAGACGGUGUCUGUGCAGUGGGCGAAGCAGCAGCACGACGACACACCAGCUGGGCAGGAGCGGCUGAAGAUGAACAAGCUGUUCCUGCGCAACGUGCCGCUGGAGGUCGCCGAGGAGGAUCUCGUCCGUCUUGUGAGUCCCUACGGUUCUGUGAGGAAGGUGACGAUGCACAACGACACAGCCCCGCUGAUCGACGCAACGGAGCGCCGCCGCAUCGUCUUCAUCACCUUUGCCGAGCAAGGCGCUGCAGAGGCUGCACUGCUCGCGGUGCACAACACCUGUGCCUUCCACCAGUGCCGUGGCAUCCCGCUAAUGGGGAAGCUGUCAGAGGACUACACGCAGAAGACGCGGACAGCGCGAAUCGCGCACAUACCGCAUUCGUGGCGGUACGGCGGUUCAGAAAGGUCACAGAGCGGCACCUGCGUGAAGGCGGUGAAGUCUCGUUCCGAAGACCCCGCGUCCCCGGUGCUUGGGCGCUGUGCCAGCGAAAUGGAUGCCGUCGACUGCGCCGGUGCAGACACACAGCGUGUGAUGGAGACGCCGUGCAGAGUUGGCACCACAUUGACGAGUCGCACAAGCCACUCCCAGUGUACGCUCGAUUUGGCAGAGAUGUGGUGUUUGCCGAACACGCAGCGUGUAGCUGCGCAACGAUCUGGCUUCGAGGCUGCUCCCAGGUGCACUUGUGAGACGUUUGUGGGGCCGACUACGAUACACGCGCUGGAUAGCGGGAUUACCGUCACGAUACGUCAUCGCCCUUCUUCCCGGACCUUUAAACGUCACUCGUGAGCGAGCUUAUUCUGUGACUCCUCUCCCCAAUGCGCCUCUGCGUAAUCACUUCUGUCUACAUGGCCCGUACUGGACGCUCAUCUCCAGUUUAGUCCACUCCGCCUCCACGUGUUGGCCGUUGUCGCCGGCAAGUCGGUCGUGUUCACUGACGGCGAGGGAGACACACCUCCGCGCGUGGCAUCUCAGGGCCCAGCGGCCCCGCACCCUCUGUGUGGGUGGAGGAGGCCAAAGCAGCCCUCCUAUAUCCCUGCCAAAUGCCGAACCACUUGAGGUGGUGACCGGGCCAGGUGCCUACGACGUAGGGGGGAGGCGAGUGCGGUGCAUCCCUGCUGAUGUGGGCGGCCGUGCCCUGGACGGCGUGGCGUCGGGGCGACCUGCGACUGCGAACAGGUCUGUGCCCAUCCACGUGAUGGGCAGGGUGCCCACGGCACUUGAACGACUGUCUCGCCCCGGGCCCUCACACGGCCCACUGGUGAGGGAAGCGGCUGUGAGGCGACCUGCGCAGCGCGGGGUGGUGGGCGGAGUUUGAGGCGCAGGCCGUUCUGAAAUGACUGUGCUGGCAUUUUUGUGGCGCGCGUGUGAAGCGCUGCUUCGCCCCACACGCGGUGGUGGAGGCCUGUGGCGAGCCCUGGGUGGGCGGGAGUAGAGUGGAGGUUGGCCCACGUUCUGUGGCAGAGAAUGGGCGCGGCGAGAAGAAAAAGUGUACCAACUGUGCGUGUAUUUCGAUGAAGACUGUCACCGGCGGCAGUGAAAAGGCGUGCCGCGAAUCGAACUGAGUCUUUUCGUGUAGACAGUUCUCUUGCCUAGCACAGCGCGACGGAGGAAUGAGGCAAGAAGCGGGACGAAAAGGACCUCUGGUCGGGAGAUUCGUGCAUGUGUUUGUCGCAGUGCUCUCAAGAAAAGUCUAGGCUGCGCGCAAAGGCGUAGAGACGCGUAGUGUCGGGUACCUCACGGGAGGGGAGGUGCAUGUUUUUGUCCUUGAAAUAAGGAAAGCGAUCAUCCAAGAGAGCUCGAGCGGGUGUUCGGUGUAUGUGCGGGUUGGUGUGUGUGAUGAUACGGAUUUGCCUUCUUUAGCUCCCUCAUCUGCACCGACUGAGUUGUGUUCUAGCCAACUCCCCUCACUGAGGGCGUCUGCUACUCGUUCUUUUUUUUACUUUGAGUCUUUCCUAUCGCAUGUUUUUGUGUGUGUGUGUGUGUGUGACUGCCUUAUUCGUUCACAUUUCGACGUUUUGUUUCCGUGUUAAAGUGGCACCUUUCUCCUUCCUCGCCUGAUCUUCUCUCUAUGCGUGUGCCGUUGUAGUGAGCACCUGCGAUGGUAUUGCUGGGACUUUUCCGUUUUUGCUUGCUCUUGAUGGGAGUCCCCGCUUCCCGACAACUGUGCUUGCCCCGAUGAUAGAGGGAUAUAUACACAUUCAGCGACGAAGAAACUCAUGAGCGGCACAGCAUCUGCGACGACACGAAGAAAAACGUAAGAUAGGAAUCAACUCGGCUAUGUUUUGUGGAAGUUGAGUAAUACACAGGGUUCUUUCGCCAUCAAAAAAAAGAUUUAACCUGAAAGGAGAGCACUUCUUGUUUUCAUAAUGGAAGAGAUGAGCGAGGUCGACGGAGAGAGUGUUUGGCCGCUUGCCUGUGCGCCGAAAAGCGUGUGCGGAGCACUGUAUGUGCGUGCGCCUGCUCACCUCUUUCCUCGCAGUUUCUUUUUUAUCGUUUCCCGUUCAUCAGGUUGCCUCUGGAUUUCUUUCUUCGCGGCAAGCGUGUUGCGGAGCAUCCGGGGAUUCGUAUCUUUUUUUUUUAUCAGUGCUGAAAUCAAUGUUGCACAUUCGCUUGCGCAUACCAACGAGCAGGCAAGAGAAAGAAGGUUUCGCAGCAGAUGGAGAGGCCUUCACGUUGAUCAACGGAUCAGCUUCUACUUUGUUGUGAGUGCAUAUCGGCCGUUCGACGUGUAUGUGCCGAGCGCUCUUCGGCUCUUUCCUUUCUCCUUUUCUUUCGGGGCAUCAGUGCAGUGCCGCAUUGGCUGGGUCUUUCCUUUUUUUUUGUUUCCUCUUUCGGCUUAUGAUGCGUCCGAUGUGUCUCUGUCUUUCACCGCCUCCACGCGUCGUUGUGGGUGUAUCCGUCUUCUUCGGCCUCCUUGGCGGCCCCUAACGCCGCGUGCGCGUGUGACCUGUUUUACAUGCUUGCCCUUUUUUUCUCUCUUUAUUGCUUCUCCGCCGUCUGUAUUGGCCACUGCUUCUUCGUUUUUUUUUCAGCCGUUUUCUUUCCUUUUGGGGAUAUUUUUUGUGUGUGCCUGUAUGCGCGCAUCUUUUUUUCUUCCUCGGGAUUUUAUUUCGACUAUUCAAACCUCUUUUUUUUUUUUGGCGGUGUUGGUAGUGGUGGGAGGGGGGCUUGCUCGUGUCGAGGCCGCUAGCAGAGCUGAGUGCGGUGGAGUGAUGCGGCGAUUGAUGGGCACUCAUCGUCUUAGUGUUCUGCCUUGUGUGUUUUUUUUUUUUUGGCGUGGCGACAAAUCGUUGUCUCCUCGUGCUUGGCCGACCGUGUGCGAGUGGGGACACUUCAGACUCUACGUGCAAUGCGUUCUUCUGUGCCGCUCGUUGCCGUCACCGCUCACCACUCCGCACUUUUGCUCUGCGUGCGUUUUUGCACGGUGCGCUUUCGUUUUCUCGCACUCUGUGCCGCGGCCUUUCUGGGCUUGCGCCUUCGUACUUUGGUGCUUCCCUCCGCGCUCUGCUGGGCGAGGCUUGCAGCUCCUCGGGUGAAGCGACGAACAGCUGCAUUUUAGAAGGCUCAAUGGAAAGACACAGGUAGCACAGUCAUGGAAGGCCCGCUCUCCCACCUGCACCCUCACCGAUACACACAUGCGCUACUUCAUAGGGUUCUGUUAAAGCCGCCUCGGUGUGAUGUCAUGACUUCCUUCUUCGCGGUGGUGGUGCCGCUCCUCCCUUCUUGUAUUUCAACUCUCUUGGCUCGUCUAGUGUGCUUUCAACUCUUCAUACCUUUCUGUGCCUUCUUCUUUUCGCUCACCGCUUCCUUUUUUUACUAUUAUUCCUGUUUUCCCAGUUGCCGAGCACCCACCCUCCACCCCACCCCAUCUUGUGUACUCCUCUGCCCCGUUUCUGUCUCUCUCUCGUCCUUUCUCUGUUUUGCUUGCUUGCUUGUUCCAUGAUGUCGACACCUGCCUCUGAUCAGCCACGCGUUCAGGGAAGCAAGAAGCAUGCUUUCGUUAUACGCCUCUCGUUGGUGCCAAUAAGACUAUUUUCUUCUUGCUUACGCUUCCGUCGUUUUCGUUGGGUUUCUUUCUGUUUUCUAUUUUUUUUUGUUCCUUCGCGCCUUCCCCUCUGUCGCUCUCUGUGCCUCCGCCUUCUUCGCCACUUCGCUGUGAACUGCAUCGGCCUUUGCUCACUCUUUUCCUUCCCCAUUGAGGCUUGUCUUCUUCGUAUCUCCGUGUUUGUGGCCCCUGCUCUGCAUGCACUCCACCGUUUCUCUGCCUUUCCCAGUUCUUGUGUAGCGCCACCCUUGUUUCGCGUUCUCCUUAGGUGGUUUAUCGUUUCCGCACUGUGUUGAGCCCUGUUUUUAUUUUUCUUCCUUUUUCUCUCUUUGUGCCACCUUCGCGUGCUUGCGGCACCCCCUCACCUACUGGCUGCUCUCCUCUACGUAUAAAUGCUUCGUGAGAGUCGCCACGCUUUUCUUUUUUUUUGUGGGUUGGUUUCACAGAUCGUGCUCCGCAGGUUGCUCUGCCUGCUUAUGCGUCGGCGCCUUACGGGGAUGGGGAUUGACGCGUUGUGUGCACACCACUUUGCUUCCUUACCUUCCUCCCUCCAUCCCGCCCCGUUUUUGCACCCCCCCCUCCCCCCGCCACCGCCACCGCCGCACUUGCAGGGGUCUCCUUCUCAUAUGCCCUUGAAGUUUGAGGAAAACGCACACGCGUCCAACGAUGCUUUCUUCGCUUCUCCUUUUCUUUGCUCUUUUUUUUUCGCGUAUUCUCCAGUCACAUUCAGGCUGGCAUUGUGAUGCCUGUAAGGGAGGGGCGCGGCGUAGGUGCAGAACCGGAAAGGGAGGCUGCGCGCUGUGCAUGAGGAGAUGGAUUGAAGGUGGUGGUGGUGAUGGGAAGCGGGCGGCUCGUGACAUGUAUCAAUAAAGAUGUCUGCUGCUGCGAUCGUUUCUUCCUGUUGAGCACGCGCACUCCCUCAGCUGUGGGUGUGCUUCGGCACACCAACCCCACGUGUCCUCGCAGGCAAACGCGAAAAAUGUUGAAUAGGAAAAUGUGGCAUGUCUUUCUUUUUUUUUUGCUAUUUGUACUUUAUUUGAAUCGCUCACCGCCCCCUUUUUGCUUUUUUUUUCAGUUGUUAUGCUCGCUUAAUCCUGUAUCGUCCUCUUGCGUGCUCGAUGAUUGGCUCUCCGCUUGCUUUGCGUUGGCUUCAUUUUUCACCUCCAUAUUAAGCCGCCUUCAUACUCGUUCUCUCUUUCCCGUUGCCAUGUAUGCUCUUCCGAUUCUUUGAUUUUAUGGCUGCUGUACUUUCAUGUUGUCUCUCUCCCUCUCGCUCCUCUCCUCUGAUAAGGGACCAACACUCGUGAAGAGCAGUACGGACCCCGACAAAGGAAGAGAAGCGGGCACGCGCACGAAAACGUGAGCGUAAUACAGCUGUCCACAGGCAGCGCUUUAUCGCUCCCUUUUACCGCCUUUUUUUUCUGCGUGUUUGGGUGGAAAGGGACAUCUAAGAGACUCUUUUUUUUUGUCGAGUGGGGGCUUAUCACUCAUGCAGCGCUCUUGGUUUAUACACGAAAGAGUGCGUGUGCGCGUGUGCGCCCAGGGCUGUAUGCAUUGGCCUGUGCAAAUCUCUGUGCUUUUCGGUUCUGUGUCUUUGUUUCUUGCUUCCCUUCUUCUCCUCCCCAUUUCAUCGAUGCUGCCGGCCACCUCAGUGCGUGGCAUCAGGGUUUGGCACCCACUCUGCGGGGAAGCCACGCAGCAUGCAGCCGGCCCUCGGAGACGGCUGGAGGACUCCUAGCGUCGGCGGAGAGGGCCCGGGCUAGCGCUGUGCCGAAGAGACGUGCGGUCAUGACCGCGGCUGUACCAGCUCACUAAACACCGUGUGGGCGAUUCGACAAAUAUGAGGAUGCGCCUACCUUUUAGCGAAACAUUCCUUUUACGCCUUCGCUACGUUGCGGCGAUGCCGAGAGCAAUCGUGCACCCCGCGCGCGCUGUGCGCAGUAGAAUUGCAGUGGGCUGACCGAAGCCAAACAGUGUAGGUUGAUCCGAUGCCGCGGCAUGGCUCUAUUAGAGCAGAGGCAGAUGAACUAGUGUUGUAUGCGUCAAUCUGUGGACCUGCUUGUGGUCGAAUGGAACCUUUUGAAGAACUACAAAAGAAAGGGCACUGCCGUCUUCUCUUAUUGUUAUCUUUCCUCUCUACUUGUCAAAUACAUAUCCGCGUGUGAGUUCUCUUUCAUCAUUGCAUCGUUACCAGGAUGUCCUUGUGUUGCUCUUCCCCUCCCUCUCUCUUUUUUUUUUUUGCUCUGUGCGCGUGCGCGUCUCUCACUCUUCUCGCCCUCUCCCUCCUCACUUUGCACGUCACUAAAAUUUUGUACCCUCCCUCACCUCUCCCUCUGCCCCUCUUUUUUUUUUUCGCGCCUGUCUAUCGUUUCUUUCCUGCUCCCGCUCUCUGAGCUGUUCUCUGUUAUGCGUGCGCGUAUGUUUUUGUGCACGCGGAUGCAGCUCUGCGCGAGCAGUUUUGUACGGGCUUGCGUGCGCGCUAUGUGUGCCGAGAGCGACGAGCCUCGGCGUGCACAGCUGCCACGCUGUUUCGCCCCUUUGUUUUUGCCCUUUUCUUUGUUCUUCUCUUUGUUUCGCCACGGCUCCUGAGCGGUCCCGCUCUGAGACAGUGCUCACUUCUUCGAUAUCUGUGUGCUCGACGGUUUGCCACAGCAGUGCGGCGCUUCUCUGUGGCCCCUCGUUCGUGGCUGCUAGCGUCUCCAUACCUUUUUCUCCAAAGGUGCGGUGGAGUUUCUGCCUUUUGUUUUACGUGUAUGUGCCCCACCCUGACAUCUCCGCUGCACUCUUUCAUCUCACGCAUCCAUGUCGCUGUCUGCAUCACCGUAGAGGGCUGCAUGCGGCCGACAGUUUUGGGCGGGCGAGAGCGCUGCUUUACCGGCAGCGAGAAAGCGAUCUGCUCUGCCUCCUUCAUCUCGCCCCCCCCCCCCCCCGCCUCGACUUUCUCCAAGCAGGAAGAGAAAGAGUUUCAGCAGCAGCGGCUCGAGUGACAUGUGAUCUUUGUGGAACCGCUGCACUUGUGCGCGUGUCUGUUUCCUUGCAGUACGUUUGAUGUCGCGUGCAGGUGCGUGCCCACCACUUUCUUUUCGUUAUAUUCGUUCUGAUGCCCACAAGCGUGACAUCACAUGGCGCAAAAUCGUGAGAAUGCGAAGCUGAAAACUCACGCAGAGAGCCCACUUUGCAAGCAUACAGUUUCGAGCAGCAGCACUGUUCACGCCGCCUGUGACUUGUCGAGCAUCUAUGUCCACCCGAAUCGCAUACGUGUCUAUCGGCUCGACAGCACGUCUGUGCUGCGUCACAGGCUCAUUUGUGCCUUAUUCCCCUUGAUGACGAGGGGCGCAAGCG